ACGAACGCUGGCGGCAUGCCUAACACAUGCAAGUCGAACGAGACCUUCGGGUCUAGUGGCGCACGGGUGCGUAACGCGUGGGAACCUGCCCUUAGGUUCGGAAUAACUCCCCGAAAGGGGUGCUAAUACCGGAUAAUGUCUUCGGACCAAAGAUUUAUCGCCUUUGGAUGGGGCCGCGUUGGAUUAGCUAGUUGGUAGGGUAAAAGCCUACCAAGGCGACGAUCCAUAGCUGGUCUGAGAGGAUGAUCAGCCACACUGGGACUGAGACACGGCCCCGACUACUACGGGAGGGAGGAGGGGGGGAUAAUGGAACAAUGGCGGAAGGCUGAUCCAGCAAUGCCGGGUGAGUUAAGCAGGCCUUAGGGUUGUAAAGCUCUUUUACCCGGGAUGAUAAUGACAGUACCGGGAGAAUAAGCGCCGGCUAACUCCGUG
rnacentral:rRNA from 1 species